rnacentral:rRNA from 1 species
UACGUAGGCAGCAAGCGUUGUUCGGAGUUACUGGGCGUAAAGAGUGCGUAGGCGGUGUCGAAAGUUUGGCGUGAAAUCUCCCGGCUUAACUGGGAGGGUGCGCCGAAAACUGCGGUGCUGGAGUGUGGGAAAGGCAAGCGGAAUUCCUGGUGUAGCGGUGAAAUGCGUAGAUAUCAGGAGGAACACCUGUGGUGUAGACGGCUUUCUGGACCAUAGCUGACGCUGAGACACGAAAGCGUGGGUAGCAAACAGG